rnacentral:rRNA from 1 species
CAUCGGCUAACUCCGUGCCAGCAGCCGCGGUAAUACGGGGGAUGCAAGCGUUAUCCAGAAUCAUUGGGCGUAAAGCGCCUGUAGGUUGUCUAAUAAGUCUGUUGUUAAAGACUAGGGCUUAACCCUAGGAAAGCAAUGGAAACUACUAGGCUUGAGUAUGGUAGGGGUAGAGGGAAUUUCUAGUGUAGCGGUGAAAUGCGUAGAUAUUAGAAAGAACACCGGUGGCGAAAGCGCUCUACUGGACCAUUACUGACACUCAGAGGCGAAAGCUAGGGGAGCGAAAGGGAUUAGAUACCCCUGUAGUCCUAGCCGUAAACGAUGGAUACUAGGUGUUGUGUUUAUAUACAGUAUCGUAGCUAACGCGUUAAGUAUCCCGCCUGGGGAGUACGCUCGCAAGGGUGAAACUCAAAGGAAUUGACGGGGGCCCGCACAAGCGGUGGAGCAUGUGGUUUAAUUCGAUGCAACGCGAAGAACCUUACCAGGGCUUGACAUACUGCAAAUCUUUUCGAGACGAAAGAGUGCCUUCGGGAAUGCAGAUACAGGUGGUGCAUGGCUGUCGUCAGCUCGUGUCGUGAGAUGUUGGGUUAAGUCCCGCAACGAGCGCAACCCUCGUCUUUAGUUGCCAAUUUAUUGGGAUUUUUAGAGAGACUGCCGAUGAUAAAUCGGAGGAAGGUGAGGAUGACGUCAAGUCAGCAUGCCCCUUAUGUCCUGGGCUACACACGUGCUACAAUGGCAAAGACAAAGAGUCGCAAAUUCGUAAGAACUAGCUAAUCUCAUAAACUUUGCCCAAGUUCGGAUUGUAGGCUG